GUUCAAACCACAGGACGGGACUCGGAGCGGGACUGUCUGCACUCUGGGGGGGGUGGGACUCUAUCGUCGCCUUUGCUGCACGCUUUGCACCUAAAUGCCCCAACCAGGAUCAGGGCCCUGUUGUGGAGUACAGACACGUGGCAAGAGACAGUCCUAACCUGAAGAGCUUACAGUCUAACUA